CACCAAUGCAGCUGUAGUCCUGAUGAACAGGGCUGCAUUUCAUUCCCAAAAGUUGUGUUCUUCCUUCUGCCACCUCACAGAUCUGAUAGGACUGAGUAAGUGAAAGCAAUAUGGUGUAAACUAGGAGGAGCUAUUGCCUAACCUAUCACCACAUCUGGGGAGGGGACAACUUCUUAGAAUGAAAUGCAACCCAGGUCCUUGUUUUGUAAGUGGAGGCGUGUCUUGCUCUCUCAUUGAGUGACAAUCAUUUCAGUGCUUCAUAUUUUCACGGGUCUCAGGUUCCAGGAUCCAGGCCCCUGUUUUUCCACUGGGGGUUUGAGACCAGAGGAGAGGGAAGAAGAGGAGGAGUAUGACGAAGAAGCCAGUGAGGUCCACAGGAUGAUGGUUUAGACCAGAGCUGUGAUCUCACUCCUGCUGACCCCCUACUGAACAGUACUGUACACAGCAGCGUCAGUCUACGCCUCUCACAAGGCUCCCUAGAGAGACUAGACAUCACCAACACGGAGGAAGAGGAGAGGAGCUCGGGUCUAUCUGAGGGGCCAGCUUAUGAUAUGGUUCUAGAGUAUUUGGCUUGCCAGUACCCGAUAUCGUGAGAUAGACUGUGGAUGCCUGACAACCUGCAGCAGAGCCCCCCUGAACCCAGACAGUGAGUGGGAUCUGGGAGGUAGUGUGAGUUUGGCUUGUCUCCUGCUCCUCUGUUGUCAAGACCCAGUCCCAGAGCAUCAUAGACCCUCACCACAUCCCAGAGGACAGUGAGACCAGAGACAGACAGUGGGUUUGGGAGCUCUGAUCUGAGUCGCCCAGCCACAGGACGAUCCCAACCAAAACUUCAUACAGAAAGGCUCCAGUUCCAGUCUGAUGGGGCCUCCAGUCCUGUGAGAAUGAGUGACAGCGAAGGCUCCUGCUCCAACCUGCAGACCACUAUCCAUCUGACUGGGGAUAUUGGAGAGAGGAGACCCAGUCUGCAGACCACUAUCCAUCUGACUGGAGAUAUUGGAGAGAG
rnacentral:lncRNA from 1 species